rnacentral:rRNA from 1 species
GACGAACGCUGGCGGCGUGCUUAACACAUGCAAGUCGUACGGUAAGGCCCUUUCGGGGGUACACGAGUGGCGAACGGGUGAGUAACACGUGAGUAACCUGCCCACAACUUUGGGAUAACGCUAGGAAACUGGUGCUGAUACUGGAUAUGUGCUCCUGCUGCAUGGUGGGGGUUGGAAAGCUCCGGCGGUUGUGGAUGGACUCGCGGCCUAUCAGCUUGUUGGUGGGGUAGUGGCCUACCAAGGCGGCGACGGGUAGCCGGCCUGAGAGGGUGACCGGCCACAUUGGGACUGAGAUACGGCCCAGACUCCUACGGGAGGCAGCAGUGGGGAAUAUUGCACAAUGGGCGCAAGCCUGAUGCAGCAACGCCGCGUGCGGGAUGACGGCCUUCGGGUUGUAAACCGCUUUCAGCAGGGACGAAGCUUUUUGUGACGGUACCUGCAGAAGAAGCACCGGCUAACUACGUG